rnacentral:rRNA from 1 species
UACGGAGGGGGCUAGCGUUGUUCGGAAUUACUGGGCGUAAAGCGCGCGUAGGCGGACCUGCAAGUCGGGGGUGAAAGCCCGAGGCUCAACCUCGGAACUGCCUUCGAUACUGCGGGUCUCGAGUCCGGGAGAGGUGAGUGGAAUUCCUAGUGUAGAGGUGAAAUUCGUAGAGAUCGGAAAGAACACCAACGGCGAAAGCACUCUGCUGGGCCGACACUGACACUGAGAGACGAAAGCUAGGGGAGCGAAUGGG